GACAUCGCUCUCUGUGACAUCGCUCUCUGUGACAUUACCAACUGCCCUCUCAACUGACUCAACUGCUCAGAAGUUUCUGGUGGGAGCAAAAGGGGUUGAUUUCUGCCAUUCCUGGAGCCGUUUCUAUCCCUGAAUGAGAGAGAGGAACUGGGAGAGGAGCUGCUUCCUUCUCGUCUCUGUUUUCCUCUGCCGGGGUUAGCAGAAAGGUUGAUCUCCAGAUGAUGCAGUUAAAGGCUUCAAGGACACCAGCAGGCCUUUCUCUCCUGGGCGCCGUCAGCAUCGAGCCAGCUGCAGGAUAAAGAUCAUGAUGGAAGGCAAAGGGGCUUCUCUUCUGUGCUGUGAACCAUUUCAUCAAGUGACCUGAUCUCCACUUGGCCUAGCAGCCUUCCCUGAGCUGGGCCUGUGCUGUGAGUUGCUGACUGAACAUUGCGUAACCUAGUGAAGGCAGGACACUGGGACUGUUAACAAGAAGUAAAAGUGCUGAGGAGGAAGAGUGGCAAUCGGAAAAGAAUGAAGGCAAGGAAAGCAAUGGCGAAUCCUGAGAGUGGCGUCUUCUAAUUCAUACUACAGUCCUAUAAGUGUUGAACCUCUUGAAUGUGUCUUUGCAGAAGAUGGAGAGGUAAGUCUGACUCCUGCCACAUCCAGAGGCCGGACUCUCAGAGCUACAUAGGAAAAGGCAGCAUUCCACAGAUAUCAAAGGUGUUGAAAAAGGAGCAUAUUUCCCCUCUGUUGCUGCUGCUGAGGGCAGCACUGAAGGGCUGCCAAUACGAGGACGCAGUUUUCGGCUAGGCAGUAGGAAUGCUUUCCCAAAUGGGAGAAGGGUUGCCAAGAUCACCUCAGGGAGUCCUGGGCUCCCCUUUGCUGAUGGUUUUCAGACAGAAGCCAGAUAACGAUGAUCUCCACGGAACCUUCCUGCUCUAAAAUGCCAUGAUUCUGCUGUGAUCCUCACAUUGAGCCUGUAAGGGAUCUGCAAGUGCCCCCCUGACACCCAGACUGCUUCUAUUUGCUCCCCAAGUUGACUGCAGUUAUGAGGAAGCAAAUUUAGGCUAAGCAUGGAGAAUAAUUUCCCACGGGAGAGAUGUCUUGCAGAGGCACACAGCCCUAGGCACACACAACCACCCCAUAUACGUAGUAUAGAGCCACAUGCGCGCACGCACACACCUGUGAACAC